rnacentral:rRNA from 1 species
CAGUCGCCGCGGUAAUACGUAGGGUGCGAGCGUUAAUCGGAAUUACUGGGCGUAAAGCGUGCGCAGGCGGUUGUGUAAGACAGGUGUGAAAUCCCCGGGCUUAACCUGGGAACUGCGCUUGUGACUGCACAGCUAGAGUAUGGCAGAGGGGGGUGGAAUUCCACGUGUAGCAGUGAAAUGCGUAGAGAUGUGGAGGAACACCGAUGGCGAAGGCAGCCCCCUGGGCCAAUACUGACACUCAUGCACGAAAGCGUGGGGAGCAAACAGGAUUAGAUACCCCUGUAGUCCCUGUCUCUUAUAC